UCUGUGUGUCCAGCAAAGCCCUACAUUCCCCAGUGGGACAGGGGACCCGGGGCCCUUGCUCCGGUGUCUGCAGAAGAGAAGAUCCUCCACCAGCUAAACCUGAAGAGCACGCCCGGCCCCGCACUAAGGGGGGAGGCGUGCGCGGGAGUACCCGGGACCUCCCCCCUUUUGCCCUUGGCGCAGAGUUAAAACCCCCUCAUCUAAAUAGUUUAAGGAAAUGUCCCCGUGAAGUCUGGAGGAGUGAGGCGGCAGCCAAGGACCAAACGCUGGGCCAUCUCAGGAACUCCCCAGGGCAGGAGGGUCCCAGCGCGGGGGAAGCUCAAGAAACUGAGGCCCAGAGAGCUCAAAUAACUUACUCGCUGAGAGAGCUCAGAGUUGACACAGACCCAGAUGCUUGGAGAUGCA